GUUGUGGACUCUCUUCUUAGGAGUUAGUUUACAAUCACAUUUGACUCCCUUUCCCUACUGAAAUGUUUUGGAAAUAGGGUGGUUUGAUUAGAAAAAACUGAUUAGUGUAAAACAGCAAUUAAUUCUUACUGCUUAACUUGAACAUUCAUACAUAUUAGUUUUCCAAGUAAAUAAGUAGAACGCCUUGUUAAACUUCCUUUCUGCCAAAAAUGUACUACCAUCUGUGUUCUACAUGGCAGCUUUUUCUUAUUUGAUACAUAUGUCCCCCCUUUUUGGGGAAGCAUGUUAAGAGCUUUAAUAUGACAUGAAACAGAAAUAAAAUAGUAAAAACACAUUGUGUUUCAAGCACGAAUGCAAAAUUCAGAUUUGUGACAUUUAAAAAAUUUGGGAUUUCAUGUGCCAUCCAUUAAUUUUUAAUGGCAACUCUCAGUCCCUAAUGUUAGAAAAAAUUUUAAUUGUAAUGUUCAGGCAGUUUGGAGUUUGGGAGAGUAAUUUUAUUGUCUCAGAGACAGUUAAAGACUUAGUGUUUAAAACAGGAUGAAUUUCAUUAAAUAGUCUGAAAACAUCCAGUUAGAAAGGUAAAGUGAAAAGCAAUGCAACCCAAAGAGUUUUGGCUUGAAUGCCAGGAGGUCUGAAUUCUGGUCCUAGGCUUCACUAAAUGCACAGCCUUGGGCAAAUCGCUUAACCUCUCAGUGUUUGUUUUCUUACCUGUAAAAUGAAGGGUUGUAUGAGAACAAUAACGCACGAUCGCCUAAAAAUCCAUCAGCCAGAUAAAAUUGCUGCUAACUAACAUUUUUAGCUGACAGUGGUACCUCCAACCUUUUAAAUAUUGUAUCACCAGCACUGUCAUAGUGCCAGUUCGAAUGCUUGGUUCACUUUAUCUUAAAUGACUACAGAUCUUGCCUAACAGAUAUGCUACACUUUAUUUAGCCAUUCUCUAUUGUUGGUCAUUUAGAUUAUCUCCAACUACAUUUUUAGUAUUGCUGUGGAGACCCACAAGUGGUCUCUCACUGACAAAGCAAAGAGUUCAUUGAAUCUGACAAACAUUGGAUCUUCACAACAGAAUCAAAAAUAUUCAAUCUCUGGUUUAUGAUUUGCCCAAUGCAUCUCUCCAGUUACAGGUUAGUAAGCAUCAUCCUUAUUUGCAACAGACAAAUAAUCUGAUGUAAGCUGUGUUUUUUGUCCAUUUGGAGCAAGAUCAUCUCAAUCUCAAGGCUUGGUGGCCAGAGCACAACCUGCGGGUGUGCAUUUAUUCAGCUUUUCUACCUCAUCGUUUUAUUUUUCUUCAAAAUGGGGACUCUCAUAUUACCUCAAUUCUUCCCUGCCUUAGCUUUCCUUGUAUCUAUCAAAUACUUUCUUUUGGUGUAAUUCCUUCACAUAAAUAUUGUCAAUACGUAUUGCUGAUUAUUUAAAGAGUGAUAGUCUUAACUCUGACAUCAAAUUUCACCUAAAACAAAAUAAACCAUUUACGACCUCAAGGAAUUUGCCAUCAAAACAAUGUAUUCUAAGAUGCACAGCACCUGGCGUGUAGGUGCUUUACGAGUAUUUGUUGAAUGAAUGACAAAAUCCAAAGGAAAUUAUCACUCAAGAGGAAUGACUGACUACUUCUGAUGUUGCCAUUGCUACCACUUAAUAGGCCAGGUUUGAGGACACUGGUUUAAGAAGCAGAAGCUGUGUCGUUUCAGAUUAUUUUCUAAGGGCAAACUGAAGAAAGGCUGUCUUAAGUUGAUAGUAGUACCUUCUAAUGAUUCAGACAAAAUAUUAGUAAUGGGAAGUUUUGGGAAAAGGGAAGGGAGUGUGAAGCUAAAUGUCAUGCAUGACUAAAGAGUAAGUAUCCAAGAUUUUUACUCAUUAUUAUCACUAUUUUUGGCCACGCCCCGGCACAUGGAGUUCCCAGGUCAGAGAUCAGGUCCAAGCCAUAGCUGUGACCCACGCCACACCUGCAGCCACAGUGGAUCCGUAAAUUACUGUGCCAGGCCAGGGAUGGAACCUGUGUCCCAAGUGACAAGCCCAGAUCCUUAAACCGCUACCCUAUAAGAGAACUCUGAUAAGUAAGAGUUCAAACCCGGGAUCAGUGUGUUGGUGGGGAGGGUAAAUACAGAAGUUUCUGCCUGGGAAUUGAUCAAAGGAAAUGAUUCCUCAGUCUUCCUGUCAAGGAUGACGUAAUAAUUACCCUGAAGACAGGCAGGGGAAAGAAUACCACAUUGGGCUUUGUGAAGAUAAACUUCCUUCUUCAUUUUAAUUGUCCUUACCUGCCAUGAAACAUUUUUCUUCUCAGUUUGGCCACAUUCUCCAAUGACAAUGAUUCUUGCUUAUUAAUAAGUAAGUGAGAAUCAUUAGAAAAAGCCUCUAAAGCAAGCUGCUACCAUAAAAAACACUGAAGGAGAAAAGAAAUAAACCAUUUUUUCUUAAACAGAACUAGUGGUAACCUAAAUCCUUUGCAUCAUUCAAAGAAAAGUUUACACUUUUUGACCAAAAAAACAAAGCCACUUCUUUUGUAAUCUUUCAAAAAUGAUCUAUCACUACCAUCUUCUUGUGUAAAAUCUUUUAAGUCAAAACUUCUUUCAGUUCAGUAGUGUUCAUCUAAGUAGAAUUACUAAAAUCUGUGGAUUUACUGGAGUGAAAUAUACUCCACAAAGUUUUAUUGUGGUUAUUGCUCUAUUGGGAUAGCAGGGUAUUUAUAAUUUUCUAUCUAUGUAUUGAUUGAGAAGAUUAUUGGUGGGAAAGCAAGAAACUGAAGCUCUAGCUCUGACAGCACCGCUGUUAUGUGUGUGAACUUCAGCAAAUCAGUCAGCUUUUCUGAACCUCAAUUUCCUUAUCUAUACAAGAACCACUAGGGUGAUCUCCAAGUUGCCUUUCAACUUUAACAUUCUGUAGGUCUAGCUGAAAAGAAAAUUCAGCUUGAUACCCUUAUGGAGGGCAAUUUGGCAGUGUCUCAAAAUUAUAAAUGCAGGCUGACCCAGCGAUCUCUUUUCUGGAAAUUCCUCCUAUAGAUAUACUUGCAUAUAUGCAAAAUGAGUUAAAGAAGGUUAUUCAUUACAGAAUAGUUUGUGAUUGCUAGAGUAGAAAUGAGCCAAGUAUCCACCUGCACCCUGGUUCAGUUAAGCUGAUACAUACAAUGGUAUGUAUGGUAGGCAGCUUAUAAGAACCUUUAAAUACGUACUUUUAAUUUUUCCGAACCAUGUGUCAGGGACAUUAGUGUUGUAGGUACUCUGGACCUGCUUCAAGUCAAAUUUUUAAAAAUCAGACCAAAGAAAAGCAAACUUAAAAAAAGAUUUGGCAGGCCAGCUCAGAAGAUUUCAAUGAUCUGGAGAAAGUCUGUAAGAAGAGUCCCUUAACCAGAUACUCUCCUCUAACUGAGGCCCUGUAAAACCGGAAUUGAAAUGAAGGCAAGGCCAAAUUUGCAGCUGGCUUCCUUAGCCAAGAAUGAUCCACUAGGGCACCGCCUAUGUGCAGGGUGCGGCCGUCUGAAUGGGGGCUGCCUUUGCAGAGCGUAGUCGGAAAGGUUGAGGGUAGCAACAGUUCUACGUUACAGCCUUCCUUUCAGCUCAUCGUGUGGGUUACUGAGGUCCCCUAGCGGCUGGCAGAAGCAGCCCGAACCGUUCAAAUUUGAUAGUCAAUGCAGAGACCACAAGACAGGAGGGUGGGAACCAACUUGAACCUCAAUCCAUUAGACUCAGGACCCUCACCCCACCCGGCCGCAGUAUCAGUAGGAAGCGGCUGUGAUAAUGGAUUAUGAAGAAAUAGGAGUCCGGACGAGUCAGAAUGCAAGGGAAGAAAUAAAUCUUUCAAACUUUUGUAAACGAGGCCUAAUUUUCUUUACAAAUUUCUUUACCAACUGAAGAAUUACCUGUCAGAAAAAGGGAUUUGGGAACUGUCAUUUUGGGCAAGAUAUUUAAAACCCUACCGUCAAUCUUCCAUCCUAAGUGAGCCCAUCCCUUUGAAAGGAAAUGCCUUCCAUAAUUCCUCCUAAAAAAAACAAAACACAACAAAACUUGACAACUGUUUCUUCUGCUCCAUGACACACAAGGCCACUGUCUUCCUCCUACCUUCGGGCCCACUUAUCUCGACCGGACGUCCUGGACCUGGAGCCCAGAUGGGGAAAGGUGGGGUGGGAGCGAGGGUUGAUUGACCAGCAGGGUAAGCGGCCUAAAGGAAUACCUGGGAGAGGGCAGGGCUUCGCCCCAAAGCUUUGGUCCUAUGCCCUCCUACGUUUUCACUUCAGCUCUUCAAUUCUAAAUAGCAAAGAAAUGACAAGCAAACAGUUAAACUUAACUAAGUUAUAAAGUGACAAGGCGCUCACUGAAUACUUUCCUCUGACCCCUUCCCUGUCGCCCCUGGACUGACUUAGUGGACAGAGUCCGGGUUCCCGCCCAGGGGUAGAGGUUCCCACGGAGGGCACGAGGGCUAGGACGCCUGUGGGUCUGAGGGUGCGUGGGAAGUAGGACUAUCUGCAGCCCGCGCCGAGCCCCCUUCUCUCGCUUCCACUCUUUCAGGUCAAGAAUGGAGGGAACCCGGCUGGCGGGUGCUGGGCCGGACAACGGGCCCCCGGCUACACUCGACCUCAGAGGCUCAGCCCUCGGGCGCAGACAGGUGGGUUCCGGUCGCGGAGGCGGCGGCCAGGGCGUCCUCCGCGCGGACACGACAGUCAGAGCCCGGGCCCCUGGAGGCGUGCGCGGCUCGCGCGGGGCCCGAGGACUCGAUACAUCGCAGGAAAAGGAAAAAAACACAAAACAAAAACAAAACCCACCGACUUCCCCGCGUUUCUCAGCAAAGGAGUCGAGGGCGGAGUCGAGAGGGGGCGACUGAGCAGAAUUCCGCGAGGCCGCCUCCGCCCGCCCACUCAGCGCCCCCGAAGCGCCCAGCGUCUCCGGCCCCCGCCCCGCCCGGCUUUGGGCCCGGAGCGGAGGUCGAGGGCAAGCGAGCGACUCGUUCCACUCGGGCUUCCCGAGUACUCGGUUCUGCUCCCCGGUAGUAAACAAAGUGUCGCCGCCGCCUCCACGCUGGUUUGCCUCACAGCAAUCAAAACACUGAGAGCGGAGAGACUCACAGAUACAUUCGAAAAUUACCAGAAAAUAAUAACAGAGAGCCAAAAAAAAAAAAAAAAAAAAGAGUGAGGGAGACUGUGCGUGUGUGAGAAAGAAAAAAACACCCCACUACCCCCACCAACCCACUGCCACCU
rnacentral:lncRNA from 1 species